rnacentral:rRNA from 1 species
GGGGAAUAUUGGACAAUGGGGGAAACCCUGAUCCAGCGAUGCCGCGUGAGUGAAGAAGGCCUUCGGGUUGUAAAACUCUUUCAGGGGGGAAGAUAAUGACGGUACCCCCAGAAGAAGCACCGGCUAACUCCGUGCCAGCAGCCGCGGUAAGACGGAGGGUGCAAGCGUUGUUCGGAAUUACUGGGCGUAAAGGGCGUGUAGGCUGCUGUGUCAGUCAGGCGUGAAAGCCCCGGGCUUAACCUGGGAACCGCGUUUGAUACUGCACAGCUAGAGGACUGGAGAGGAAAGUGGUAUUCCUAGUGUAGAGGUGAAAUUCGUAGAUAUUAGGAGGAACACCAGUGGCGAAAGCGGCUUUCUGGACAGUUACUGACGCUGAGGCGCGAAAGCGUGGGGAGCAAAC